GAUGAACGCUGGCGGCGUGCCUAAUACAUGCCAGUCGAGCGAACAGACGAGGAGCUUGCUCCUCUGACGUUAGCGGCGGACGGGUGAGUAACACGUGGAUAACCUACCUAUAAGACUGGGAUAACUUCGGGAAACCGGAGCUAAUACCGGAUAAUAUAUUGAACCGCAUGGUUCAAUAGUGAAAGACGGUUUUGCUGUCACUUAUAGAUGGAUCCGCGCCGCAUUAGCUAGUUGGUAAGGUAACGGCUUACCAAGGCAACGAUGCGUAGCCGACCUGAGAGGGUGAUCGGCCACACUGGAACUGAGACACGGUCCAGACUCCUACGGGAGGCAGCAGUAGGGAAUCCUCCGCAAUGGGCGAAAGCUUGACGGAGCAACGCCGCGUGAGUGAUGAAGGUCUUCGGAUCGUAAAACUCUGUUAUUAGGGAAGAACAAAUGUGUAAGUAACUAUGCACGUCUUGACGGUACCUAAUCAGAAAGCCACGGCUAACUACGUG
rnacentral:rRNA from 1 species